UACAGAGACUGCAAGCGUUAUUCGGAUUCACUGGGCGUAAAGGGUGCGUAGGUGGUGAGGUAAGUCGGAUGUGAAAGCUCGGAGCUCAACUCCGAAAUGGCAUUGGAAACUACCUUGCUCGAGGGUUGGAGGGGGGACUGGAAUACUUGGUGUAGCAGUGAAAUGCGUAGAUAUCAAGUGGAACACCAGUGGCGAAGGCGAGUCCCUGGACAACUCCUGACACUGAGGCACGAAAGCUAGGGGAGCAAACAGG
rnacentral:rRNA from 1 species